rnacentral:rRNA from 1 species
GCCCCGGUAAACGGCGGCCGUAACUAUAACGGUCCUAAGGUAGCGAAAUUCCUUGUCGGGUAAGUUCCGACCUGCACGAAUGGCGUAAUGAUGGCCAGGCUGUCUCCACCCGAGACUCAGUGAAAUUGAACUCGCUGUGAAGAUGCAGUGUACCCGCGGCAAGACGGAAAGACCCCGUGAACCUUUACUAUAGCUUGACACUGAACAUUGAGCCUUGAUGUGUAGGAUAGGUGGGAGGCUUUGAAGUGUGGACGCCAGUCUGCAUGGAGCCGACCUUGAAAUACCACCCUUUAAUGUUUGAUGUUCUAACGUGGACCCGUAAUCCGGGUUGCGGACAGUGUCUGGUGGGUAGUUUGACUGGGGCGGUCUCCUCCUAAAGAGUAACGGAGGAGCACGAAGGUUGGCUAAUCCUGGUCGGACAUCAGGAGGUUAGUGCAAUGGCAUAAGCCAGCUUGACUGCGAGCGUGACGGCGCGAGCAGGUGCGAAAGCAGGUCAUAGUGAUCCGGUGGUUCUGAAUGGAAGGGCCAUCGCUCAACGGAUAAAAGGUACUCCGGGGAUAACAGGCUGAUACCGCCCAAGAGUUCAUAUCGACGGCGGUGUUUGGCACCUCGAUGUCGGCUCAUCACAUCCUGGGGCUGAAGUAGGUCCCAAGGGUAUGGCUGUUCGCCAUUUAAAGUGGUACGCGAGCUGGGUUUAGAACGUCGUGAGACAGUUCGGUCCCUAUCUGCCGUGGGCGCUGGAGAACUGAGGGGGGCUGCUCCUAGUACGAGAGGACCGGAGUGGACGCAUCACUGGUGUUCGGGUUGUCAUGCCAAUGGCACUGCCCGGUAGCUAAAUGCGGAAGAGAUAAGUGCUGAAAGCAUCUAAGCACGAAACUUGCCCCGAGAUGAGUUCUCCCUGAGACUUAGAGUCUCCUGAAGGAACGUUGAAGACGACGACGUUGAUAGGCCGGGUGUGUAAGCGCAGCGAUGCGUUGAGCUAACCGGUACUAAUGAACCGUGAGGCUUAACCUU